rnacentral:rRNA from 1 species
GACGAACGCUGGCGGCGUGCUUAACACAUGCAAGUCGAACGGAAAGGCCUGCUUUCCCUUGUGGAUUGCGGGUACUCGAGUGGCGAACGGGUGAGUAACACGUGAGUGAUCUGCCCCCAACUUGGGUAUAAGCCUGGGAAACUGGGUCUAAUUCCCGAUAGGACUGCAGGGUGGUGCCUGUGGUGGAAAACGAUUUUCUAGUGGUUGGGGAUGAGCUCGCGGCCUAUCAGCUUGUUGGUGGGGUAAUGGCCUACCAAGGCGGCGACGGGUAGCCGGCCUGAGAGGGUGGACGGCCACAUUGGGACUGGGAUACGGCCCAGACUCCUACGGGAGGCAGCAGUGGGGAAUAUUGCACAAUGGGCGGGAGCCUGAUGCAGCGACGCCGCGUGGGGGAUGACGGCCUUCGGGUUGUAAACUCCUUUCGACCGCGAGGAAGCCACCUGGUUGGAAGGGUGGUGACGGUAGUGGUAGAAGAAGCACCGGCUAACUACGUG